GCUGGUGUAGCUCAGUUGGUAGAGCAACUGCCUUGUAAGCAGUAGGUCGGCGGUUCGACUCCGUUCACCAGCU
rfam:Campylobacter fetus subsp. fetus 82-40, complete genome.